rnacentral:misc_RNA from 1 species
GAUGAAGAACGCAGCGAAAUGCGAUAAGUAAUGUGAAUUGCAGAAUCCAGUGAAUCAUCGAAUCUUUGAACGCACAUUGCGCCCGCCAGCAUUCUGGCAGGCAUGCCUGUUCGAGCGUCAUUUCAACCCUCGACCUCCCUUUGGGGAAGUCGGCGUUGGGGACCGGCAGCACACCGCCGGCCCUGAAAUGGAGUGGCGGCCCGUCCGCGGCGACCUCUGCGUAGUAAUCCAACUCGCACCGGAACCCCGACGCGGCCACGCCGUAAAACACCCAACUUCUGAACGUUGACCUCGAAUCAGGUAGGACUACCCGCUGAACUUAAGCAUAUCAAUAAGCGGAGGA